rnacentral:rRNA from 1 species
CCUACGGGGGGCUGCAGUCGGGAAUUUUGCACAAUGGCCGAAAGGCUGAUGCAGCAACGCCGCGUGAGCGAAGAAGGCCUUCGGGUUGUAAAGCUCUGUUGCCUGCGAAGAAGGGCCCUGUCAGGAAAUGGGCGGGGUUUGACGGUAGCAGGCGAGGAAGCCCCGGCAAACUACGUGCCAGCAGCCGCGGUAAUACGUAGGGGGCGAGCGUUGUCCGGAAUUACUGGGCGUAAAGGGCGUGUAGGCGGCCUGUUAAGUCAGGGGUGAAAGACCGGGGCUCAACCCCGGGGGUGCCUCUGAAACUGGCGGGCUUGAGUGCUCUAGAGGGCAGUGGAAUUCCCGGUGUAGCAGUGAAAUGCGUAGAGAUCGGGAGGAACACCAGUGGCGAAGGCGGCUGCCUGGGGAGUCACUGACGCUGAGGCGCGAAAGCUAGGGGAGCAAACAGGAUUAGAUACCCCUGUAGUC